rnacentral:rRNA from 1 species
AGAGUUUGAUCCUGGCUCAGGAUGAACGCUAGCGACAGGCCUAACACAUGCAAGUCGAGGGGCAGCGGAGAGGUAGCAAUACCUUUGCCGGCGACCGGCGCACGGGUGAGUAACACGUAUGCAAUCCACCUGUAACAGGGGGAUAACCCGGAGAAAUCCGGACUAAUACCCCAUAAUAUGGGCGCUCCGCAUGGAGAGCCCAUUAAAGAGAGCAAUUUUGGUUACAGACGAGCAUGCGCUCCAUUAGCCAGUUGGCGGGGUAACGGCCCACCAAAGCGACGAUGGAUAGGGGUUCUGAGAGGAAGGUCCCCCACAUUGGAACUGAGACACGGUCCAAACUCCUACGGGAGGCAGCAGUGAGGAAUAUUGGUCAAUGGUCGGCAGACUGAACCAGCCAAGUCGCGUGAGGGAAGACGGCCCUACGGGUUGUAAACCUCUUUUGUCGGAGAGUAAAGUACGCUACGUGUAGCGUAUUGCAAGUAUCCGAAGAAAAAGCAUCGGCUAACUCCGUGCCAGCAGCCGCGGUAAUACGGAGGAUGCGAGCGUUAUCCGGAUUUAUUGGGUUUAAAGGGUGCGUAGGUGGUGAUUUAAGUCAGCGGUGAAAGUUUGUGGCUCAACCAUAAAAUUGCCGUUGAAACUGGGUUACUUGAGUGUGUUUGAGGUAGGCGGAAUGCGUGGUGUAGCGGUGAAAUGCAUAGAUAUCACGCAGAACUCCGAUUGCGAAGGCAGCUUACUAAACCAUAACUGACACUGAAGCACGAAAGCGUGGGGAUCAAACAGGAUUAGAUACCCUGGUAGUCCACGCAGUAAACGAUGAUCACUAGCUGUUUGCGAUACACUGUAAGCGGCACAGCGAAAGCGUUAAGUGAUCCACCUGGGGAGUACGCCGGCAACGGUGAAACUCAAAGGAAUUGACGGGGGCCC